CUGGAAGUAGUACUGAUUGAUUGUACAGAGCUGGAAGUGGUACUGACUGAUUGUACAGUGCUGGGGGUGGUACUGACUGAUCGUACAGAGCUGGAGUUGGUACUUACCGCACAUUGCUAAAAGUGGUACUGACUGAUCGUACAUUGCUGGGGGUGUUAUUGACUGGUUGUACAGAGCUGGGGGUGAUACUGACUGAUCGUACAGUGCUGGGGGUGGUACUGACUGAUCAUACAGAGCUGGAG